UUUUAAUCCCCCCCUCCCCCAUAGAUAUACAUAAAGUCACAAACACAAACGACUAGGCUUUGCUUCCUCGACCCACGUCUACCCUUAAUUCGCUGCCCUCAUCUCCUUUUAUGGCUAUUUAAAUAACCCAUUUGUUUAAUUGCAGUAAAGUCUUGUUCGGUAUAUUGCAACCAAAGAAGCCAAAGACUAUAUUUUCUUCUUGCUUCACUGUUGUAGGAUUGUAUAAAAUAUGUGUUAAUCAACUUGUGUUCAACAAGGAGGAAGCAGUGAAAAUUAUUUAUAAUGUUUUUGCACGAGUUACUUUGUGAUUUGGUGGAAGAUGAACGAAGAGUCAAAGAGAUAUCAAACAAGAUUUAAGUGCUCCUCCGUUCAAAGAUCAUUGAAGAAGGCUACCAAGCAUAAAUAUAGAUCAUUUAAGUUUGAACCUACAUAGUUUUGUAUUAUUUUCAAAGUAGUAUGACCUCAACUUUGUACUUUUAAAUGAAGUUUAUUUUGUCUUUUGGUUCAUCGUUGUAAUGUUUAGGAUUUAUGGGAUUUCUCUCUUCUUUAAUAGAUUCAAAUCAUU